CCCGCACACACAAAAAGUUUACUGCCCUCAAAGUUAUUAAAAGCAAACCAACAAUCCCGAGAGCAAUGCGGUGAGGCGACAAGUCCAACUACCUGCGGCAACAGCUCCAAGCAGGGAGAUCCAACAAGGCGGCUCACCUUACCCGGCUGCCGCGCAGGGACUGAGGGGUGCAUGGGGGGAAAAGCCCCUCUUGGAGGCGCCCAAGUUUGCGGUGGGAGAGGGCACCCCGGGCGAAGGCGGCGAUGGUGCUGCUCGGCAGUAGCGGAAGAAUAGCAGGCGGGUGGAUACCCAGUACAUCCCAUGACAUCAUUCCCACAAGCCUGAUUGCCAGAGGGAUGGAAUCUGUGACUCUGACCUUGGGAAGAUGGCAGUUUUCGGUUUCCAUGGCUGCUUCUGAGAAGAGGGACUAGCUACUGUGGCUCCUCACCCUCAUGCUCCUGGAGGUCUGCUGAGGUCUUGCUCCUGUGAGGUAACCUGGAAGAAAACAUAAAAGCACUGAUAAAGGUUGCAGAUGACACAAAGAUUGGAG